rnacentral:rRNA from 1 species
AUUGAACGCUGGCGGCAGGCCUAACACAUGCAAGUCGGGCGAGUGGCGGACGGGUGAGUAAUGCUUGGGAAUCUAGCUUAUGGAGGGGGAUAACUACGGGAAACUGUAGCCAAUACCGCGUACCACAGGAUGAGCCCAAGUGGGAUUAGGUAGUUGGUGAGGUAAAGGCUCACCAAGCCGACGAUCUCUAGCUGGUCUGAGAGGAUGACCAGCCACACUGGGACUGAGACACGGCCCAGACUCCGACGGGGGGCAGCAGUGGGGAAUAUUGCGCAAGUGGGGCAACCUGACGCAGCCAUGCCGCGUGAAGGAAGAAGGCCUUCGGGUUGUAAAGUUCUUUGGGUAGCGAGGCGUUAACGACAGAAGAAGCACCGGCUAACUCCUUGCCAGCCGCCGCGGUAAUUC